AAAACCACGACCACGACUACGGUCGCAGGAGCAACUACAGCUUCAUUAACUCUGACCCAGCUCCUGGCCCUGCUCCGACAACUACUCAAUCAGUAAUGAUCAAAUUCUGUGGCUGCUGUUUUAACCAGAUGCCUUCUAUUCACUCAACAAUUGGACAAAUAUCAUUCUUCACCAAGUUUUGACUAAAAAUAAACAUGUUCAGUGCAAACUUU